UCCCUGUAAUCCAAUCCCAAAGAAACCUGGAGCUGUUCCAGCUGAGCAAUUCCAUGUUUUUCCCAGUACCUGGUUUGAUUUUCAUCACCACGGGUUUCCUGGAGCUGUCCCUCAUCUGCUGGAUGUCCAGCAGGUCCUUGGGGUUGCCGUUGUGCCGGGGCCAGCAGUACACGAACACCCUGGAGCCGCUGCUGCCGCAGUCCACCA